UUCUUUUCACAUCCCUCUCUCAUUGGAGUUAUUUACAAAAAUUAUGACCGAAUCCGAUGAGGAUUGCGUACGUAUCAUAAAACUACGUGAAUCAGAUUAUUACGUAGUUCAAGAAAAUAAAUACGAAAAAUAAAGAAAUAAUUUUUGGAAAAUUUUGUUUUCAUUAGUAGAAACUCCUAAACUUUCUAUUACAAAAAAAACUACAAACUACUCCCUUUAUUGGAAUAUAAAGCUACGAACGGACUCAAAAUAAAUCAAAAUACAGAUUCGAUAAAUGAAAAAUCAGAAAUACAUCAAGGCUUCGGUUCCUGGGGCCUCUGGGACAUCAUUCGGUUUUGCCACGGGCCUACGUGCGAUAUCCCCUUGAAGCCGUUCAAAAUCACUCAUUAUAUGGUGGAUAAAUGUCAUUACUACAGCAAAGAAAGUGGUUUGACUCUUGUCUUCACAUGUUUGGCAUUUCGUGACGAUCUAGCCAGCAAUGGCUCUAACCCUCUCUCGGGCAAUACCUUUUUACUGAAGCAGGAGCCCGAUUUAGGGAUUUCGAGCUUGUAGCACUUGAGUAUCAUACUGGUUUUGAUUUUUCAACGGUUUCAUAUCUUCCCCCAUCCGGGCCAUCAAAGCAUAACAAUGUUCCCUAUUGGCUUUAAAGUUCAUAGCCUACUUGUGCGCCUUAUUUUCAAGGGUGGUUAGCUUGUUCUUCAGAUUGGUGAUCGUCCCUUCAUACUUUCUUUUCAUUUAUUGCAUAAACUGUGCCCGCCCUUUUGCAUUCUUUGCCAAUUGGGCAUGGACUUUUGCUAGACUGUCCCCCUGAAUCACAGACCCAAGAUAUCAGACACUAUCCCUCUUGGCGAUGGCCUGAGAACCAAGCAUCACGUCCCUGCCUACCCCACUCGGCUCGUCGCCAAACUUGGACUCCAGGUAUUCUGUCUUUGAUCUGCUUAUUUUGAAACCUUUAGACUCGAGGGUCUGUCUCCACACCUCUAACCUUUCACUAACACCGACCCUCGUCNNNN
rnacentral:lncRNA from 1 species